ACCCUCCUCUUAAUUCCUCGCAUCUCAACGUUAACUGCUAUUUCACUACACUACUAUCACUGAUUCUUUCCCUUGCACAUACCUCAAGUGCUUUUGCCUCUAAUUGCUGGACUUUUGAACCAUGAAAUAUCACAAGAUACUAUUUUAACUAUUUAAAAAAUUAUCUAUGGCUCACUUGGUUUACUGUUCACGUCUCACUGCUAGUCCCGUCUGCAUAAGCUAUACUUCAUCAUGUAUUAUAUAGGCUACACCAUUAUAGUUAAAUUUGGGGCAUAUCUUGUGAUUAUACUUUUUAAUUUUGAUGUCUACAAAUUAUCGGAAAAUCAGCUGAAGCUUUUAUUUUCAGGCGUAUUCUGUGGGAAGGGCUUUGACUUUGAAGUUGAAGGAGCUCAUACCACGACAAAUGUUUAAAGUACCAAUUCAAGCAUGUAUAGGAUCAAAAGUGAUUGCCAGCGAAGCGAUAUCUGCAAUACGGAAGGAUGUACUAGCCAAAUGCUACGGUGGUGAUAUUACAAGAAAAAAGAAAUUGCUUAAGAAACAGU